rnacentral:rRNA from 1 species
UACGAGAGGCCCAAACGUUAUUCGGAAUUACUGGGCUUAAAGAGUUCGUAGGCGGCAUUGCAAGUAGGGUGUGAAAGGCCCUCGGCUCAACCGAGGAAUUGCGCUCUAAACUGCAGUGCUUGAGGACCUAGAGGUGAGCAGAACAGAUGGUGGAGCGGUGAAAUGCGUUGAUAUCAUCUGGAAUACCGGAGGCGAAGGCGGCUCACUGGGAGUUUUCUGACGCUGAGGAACGAAAGCCAGGGUAGCGAACGGG